GACGUCUCUGCUUUUUAGUAUGCUGUCUAGAUUUGCCAUAACUUUCCUCCCCAGGAGCAAGCAUCUUUUAAUUUCUUGGCUGCUGUCACCAUCUGCAGAUAUUUCUCUGGAACUCCCUAGAUUUCUUCACAAUCCGGUGAAUGUUGGCAGUUUGAUCCCUAGUUUCUCUGCCUCUUUGAAACCCCUCUUGAACUCCAGGUAGUUCUCGGUCCACAUACUGCUGGAGCCUGGCUUGUAGAAUUUUGAGCAUAGGUUUGCUAGCAUGUGAAAUGAGCACAAUUGUUCGGUAGUUUGAACACACUUGGCAUUGCUCUUCUUUGGAACUGGAACGUAAAUUGAUCUUUUCCAAUCCUGCGGCCACUAUUGGGUUUCCCAAAUUUGCUGGUAUAUUGAAUGUAGCGCUUUUAUUGCAUCCCCUUUUAGGAUUUUGAGUAGUUCAGCUGGAAUACUGGCACCUCCACUAGCUUUGUUGUUGCUAAAGCUUCCUAAGACCCAUUUCACACCCCAGAAUGUCUGGCUCCAGGUCAGGAAUACUCAGGAAUUAGCACCAUUAAACUCAUGGAACUGACUCCACUGUAAACCAAGCACACAUUCGGGAAGCUACGGCGCCCCGUCUCUCUCCGAAGCGCAUGCGCACUGCGUGCAGGAGAUUCUCAUUCACCUCCCCGUUUCUUUCCCAAACAAGGUGAAAGGAAAGGAGGGAGGAGCCCCAAUGGCACGUUUGAAAUAGCCCGCCUUUCCUUAAAGCUGGGCCGUGAUUGGCUGCCGGGCUGCGCGAGAGAGAAGAGGAGGGGAAACGCUCUGUCUAUAAAUACUUCCCGCCGAGUUUCGUUAAACCGUUUCUGGGAGGCGCGCGCGGGAGAUGCUUUGGGCGGGAAGGCCGAGCGGCGGGCGGAAGCCGUUCGUCUCCUCAGAAAGGCGGGAGAGGCCGCUCGAGCUUUUCAGACCCCCCAUUUCCGUACGCUUUCAUUUGAAAUGGCAGUAACGGUACUCGCAGAACAGUUAGAACGGAAGGAGUGUGCGUGGGGAUUGAAUUCGCAAAGUGAGGCAGGGAACGGCAUUUCUCAGAACUGGGUUGAAGCGGGUGGAAGAAACUUGUCCAUGCUGCGAAAACUUGUUUAAGUUACCUCUGUAUUGCCCUCUAAAGAGAAAAACCUCUUUCUUUUCGGGAGAAGUCUUACGUGUCCCAGCAUGCCUUGGGUUUUUUUUUUUUUUGCUGUGUGAACAGGCAUAGGAUUUUGCUUAACACUCCCCAGGUAUUUGCACUUCUCUGGGUGGUGUGGCUAAAUUCCUCAGGACAAUGACAGGAAGUGAAGAACAAAAAGUGGAUUCUGAAACAGAAUUGGAAGACUGAAAAUGCCAAGAAGAUGCACAGAGUGUACCAAGAGGGAUUUGACACUGCUGCUCUGCUACAUCUGGCAAUUUAUUGACAGGUGCUAAACAGAAUUUAUUUGUUGUUCUGCGACACAUAAAAUCUUUGCUUGUUUUGCACAUAUUCAUUCUGCAUCGUAUAUAAAAGCCCAAGCUGAACCAAGACUGGAUUAGUUCUGCAACUGGAAGAAGAAAAAUAUUCACAAAGAUGUAUUUUAAAGCUAUCUGCUCACUGAAUUAUAUUUUGUAAAUAUCCUGCUUUCUGUUCCACUUAACAAGUCAAAAUAAACAGGAUAAUAAAACAAA